UAUCCUCUUUGCUUUCGAUCUUGAGACUGUAGCUCAAGAUUUUGAUGAUUUUAUUAGGGUUUAAUCUCAGGAUUUCUAUUGUAAUCUAGGGUUUGGUUUUGGGGUAAUCUAGGGUUUGGUUUUGGGAAGAGCAGCUGAGAAUGAGUCUAAAUCGGCAAGAAUGAGAAUGGGUUAAUUGAAGAUGGGGGUUUGAGAGUUCUUGGAUGAUGAUAUGAGUUGGCUUGAGAUAGAUUGGCAACCAGAUGAAGAAAUCGAUCGAGAAAAAAUAUUCCAGUUGCAAAGCUGUUGUUGGUAUUGCUACCAGAGAAGCUACAGCAAUGGGGCAAUGGAUUCUGGUGUGUGUGCUCUGAGACUUGCAGGGACUGAAUUUGGGAUUGCAACUGUUGGAGUUGGCUGAGCAGAUACAUGUACCUAAAGGUCAUGAUUUGUGCAUCAGGGUAUUUGAACAAUGGUGCUUGACAAGAAGGCAACGAUAUAUGUUAGCAAUCACUACAUAACAGAAUCUCCUUUCAUGCCGAAUGUAGAAGGUCUAGAAGAAGCCCAAUUUGAUGUGGAAUUAAUUCACUAAUAUUCUUUAUUCAGAUUUUUUAAAGGGGAAUAAUGGAUACAAGAACCUUCUUAAGAGUGCAUUGACAGGUGGUUGUAGUUGCUGAGAUCAGUCUGAAAAUAAAGGAAAAGGGCAUGAGUGUCUUCUCCCCUUUUGAAUCUCCUGGAAGGGCUGUUAAAAAUACUGGAUAAUUUCCGCAUUGCGCCAAAACUAACUUGGAGAGGCUAGGUCUGUUGCUGCGAGGUUAAGGUGGGAGAAGAACAGGCAGAGUAAAAGUGAAAAACAGGAACAGGUGGAGCGUGAAGCAAGGUUGAAGUUUGAACAACAACUUGAAAUUGCACGACAGGCUAGAGCGCAGGAGGAUAUUAGGCGGGAAAGAGAACAGCAGGAAUACAAUGAGCGUGUUUUAAAAGAACAGUUAGCACGGCAGCAGGUAUUUAUCAUUGACUGUAUGCAAACCUACAAUCCAUCAGCUGAUGUGUACCAGAACCUCUAAGAGCGGCCAAUGAAUAAGAUGAAAAGCAGGGGAUUUAAUUUGUAGGACGCUAAGUAGAAUCAGAAAGAAGAUGAUGAUGAAGAGGAAUAAAAGAAGAACUGAAAAAGUUGGUGUUUACAGGUUUUUGGUUGGUAUGAGUCGUAGUGUAAUUUAUCACCAAGAAUGCAACCCUCACAAACGAAAAGGAAGGUGAUGAUUAUCCUAUCAGAGCGAUGAAGUUUCCAUCUCUCCCUUCGUCCAUGUUGCUGUGCAGUUUGAGGACUCGGGCGAGCACAUUGUUGCAGGUGCUGGAGAACUCCAUCUUGAAAUCUGUUUGCAGAACUUGCAUGAGGACGAUUUCAUGGGAGGUGCGCGAAUUGUGAAGUCUGACCCUGCUGUUUCAUUCCGUGAGACUGUCCUAGAAAGAUCAUCUUGCAAAGAAGAUCUGGUGUUUCGGCCCCGACACCACUGGUCAAACCUCGGCUGCACAACCAAAGUAAGGUUUAAUCAUCUGUGGUUAAUUGUAGCGAUAGAAAAAUAUAUAAGGUUAAUAUCAAAACUUAAAAAGUCAUCUUUCUAUGGUUGCAAUCGACAUGGAACCCCAACGCAUCGUUCUUGCUUAGAUUGAUCUUAAUCGACAAUUCUAUUAUUGUUUACUAUAAGAGCUAUACUUGAACUAGGGUGUUUACCUCAAAGUAUUGUUACUCUACCAGACUCUUGCUGCAGACAGGAUGUUAACAAAACGUCAGUUCUGUUGGCCAAAAUUCUGUGGGUAAUUCUAUGAACAAUAGUCUGUCACCUGCUACAAAUUCUUCUGAUGCACAGCUUAAGGUUUUGUUAAUUCUGUAUCUUCUUCGUGAUUAAUUUGUUUUUGAUAUAACUUUCUUCUAUGUUACUGAUAAUUUUUGUUAUUUGACGUUAAUUGAUAUGAACUUGCCGCAAUAUUUAAGAAGAUUGGAGACAAGCAGACCUGCACUACUGGUUUGUAUGGAUUAUACCGAAUUACUCAACUAUACCCCAUCGUACACUACAGGAGUUACACUGGGUCAUCACUGGCAGGCUGCUGGCUUAAGCUUUUUUUAUCUUUUUGAUCAUUGGAAUUUUGUAGCUUAAUUCUCACUUUUUGAGACCAUGCCAGGUUUUGAUAUAAUUUCCCAACUUCAGAAUGCGAGCAAUGCAUUCCGAACAUACAUAGAAGAAGGGUUAGCUGAGAUAGAAAAGAAUGCUGCUGCCGGAAAAACACUUUCAAGUGUACCAAUGUCAAUGCCUCCUCCAGUUGCCUUAAAUCUUAUUAGUUUUGAUUAAAUUCAAUUCAAUGAAGCACUGGACAUAGGUAAGAGCGGUGAUUAAAUUCAAUUCAAUUGGUAUGAUGGAGAAUGUGCCUGUGAUGGCUAUUGAUGAUUCUGUGGUCGAAUGGAUUAAAUGAGUCUGUGGGGCUGUUUUAUGCCGAGAGUUCAGUGAAGAAUAAUUGUUUGCUGCUCGACUUUGGUGUGAGGUAUUGAUGACGGUAACUGGUGGCUGAUAGAGAAAACUCAUAACGGAGUUCAUUGAUGAUUUUGUUUGCUGACGGAAUUUGAUUUUACUGCCACUAUUAUUUGAACGGGAGAUGAUCUCACUGCUAUAAUUGGUGCGAGGACGCAAGACAUCAGUAUUUAUGCAACCAAUAUGUUAAGAGACCCGCAUAACAAAGUAAUUCAUAUCGUCUCACAUGCUUUAAGAACUUAAUGAUGUACAUAUUGUACUAUGUUCGAUGAUUUUUACAUAACAACAAGGAAAGACGUCCAUGUGCAAGGAAAUAAACGUUGGGUUGGUUGAGAGCAAGGGAUGUUUUAAUCUGACUUGCAAUGGAUGCCACCAAAAAAUCUAUGCAGAAAGAGAGCUGGUACGUUAGUCAUUCUGUGCAACUUUUUCAGGAUUGGAAAUCCCUGUUUGUGUAUCAAACAAUUAUUGUGGUUUGUGAAUUGUGGAAUAGUAACAGGUUUAUUGUAUGGAUUAAAUAAUUAGCUUUGUUUAAACGCGUAGAUACGACAUGGAGUUGUUGAAACAUGU